rnacentral:rRNA from 1 species
UACGUAGGGUGCGAGCGUUGUCCGGAAUUACUGGGCGUAAAGAGCUCGUAGGUGGUUUGUCGCGUUGUUCGUGAAAACUCACAGCUUAACUGUGGGCGUGCGGGCGAUACGGGCAGACUGGAGUACUGCAGGGGAGACUGGAAUUCCUGGUGUAGCGGUGGAAUGCGCAGAUAUCAGGAGGAACACCGGUGGCGAAGGCGGGUCUCUGGGCAGUAACUGACG